UGGGGAAUAUUGCACAAUGGGCGAAAGCCUGAUGCAGCGACGCCGCGUGAGGGAUGACGGCCUUCGGGUUGUAAACCUCUUUCAGCAGGGACGAAGCGCAAGUGACGGUACCUGCAGAAGAAGCACCGGCUAACUACGUGCCAGCAGCCGCGGUAAUACGUAGGGCGCGAGCGUUGUCCGGAAUUAUUGGGCGUAAAGAGCUCGUAGGCGGCUUGGCAAGUCGGGUGUGAAACCUCCAGGCUCAACCUGGAGACGCCACUCGAUACUGCUAUGGCUAGAGUCCGGUAGGGGACCACGGAAUUCCUGGUGUAGCGGUGAAAUGCGCAGAUAUCAGGAGGAACACCGGUGGCGAAGGCGGUGGUCUGGGCCGGCACUGACGCUGAGGAGCGAAAGCGUGGGUAGCAAA
rnacentral:rRNA from 1 species